GUGAGCUUUCUGGCGCAAAGGGGCAGUCCAGACCACACCCAGGUGGGUUCUACACAUUGGUCAUGGAUGAGAAUAUGUCGGUGUGUCGCACGUUACCGAUGGAGGUGUCGCCACAGUUUAUUAACUGGGCGACUCUGCAGGGUGGGGAGAUGACCAUACAGACCACACAGGCGUCCGAGGCCAAUCAGGCGGUCGCGUCCCUCGCUGAGGCCGCUGUCGCCGCCUCCCAGGAGAUGCAGCAGGGAGCCACCGUCACCAUGGCACUUAACGGGUAGGGCGUGUACAUUAGGGCACACUGUCACCAUGGCAUUUAA